UCUACCUCCAUCUGCCUGAUGGAUCAUGGGGGUCUGGAUCGCAGUCCAUGCUGACUACCAAUAGUGAAUUGAGCCGGCAGUGUUUCUUAAGUGGAGAGGACAGAGGCAGGAUGUGGUGCUGACGUGGUGGAAAGUCCAGAGUGAAAGCCAAGUGGGACCUCGGGCAACGCACAACACGCUCCAGUUAACUGGAGUUCACCACAGUUUUGUCUUUUUACAGCAAGGCUGACUCCUAAAACACACGGAGCAGAACGAAGCCCGGCUGCACGGAGAGUAACCGUUUGCUCCGACCCCGGGGACUUCGGAGGAGACACUCUGAUGCUGUGCUCCAGACUGGGGAGUCCAUUUUACUCCGGGCUACAUGGUCCAGGCCACUGACUAGUGCACUGCUUCAGUGCCCACACUGCUCUCAGAGGAAGUGACCUCAAUACAUCCAAUAACUCUGCUCGCACAAGCGCGACAGCUGUGGAAGAUUGGAAACAUACCAGGUUUCUUAUCUCAGAUUCAGCUCAAAUGAGAGAAUAGAUUGUUUUGGUGGUGUAAAUGUCAAGGGAAGAAUGACUCAAAGUGUUCUCAUGCAGUUGAUAUC